rnacentral:lncRNA from 1 species
CAAGUGAUUCCCAAUACCUCCCCUUCCCUUUCACUCAUGUCUCUCACUCCUUCAUUCUCCUCCUCGAUCACUCUCUAUCCGAGACUACACAGUAGAAAAGAUACUCCACUUUCAUUCGACAUCAUUGAUCUGAUCAAAGGUAACCCUCUGUUCUUUUCUUGUUUUUCUUUUCCUUUUUUUUUUUAAUGUUUGAUUGUCUUGAAAUGUUGGUUAGGGUUUUGGGUUUUAGGAUUGUUUGGUUAGGAGGAAAGUAUGAGAAAAUGAAAUGGUUUCAUUGAGUGAUAUUAACAAGUGCUAUCAAGUAUCAAUAAAAUCUGUAAAUCCUCAAAUGUUUUUACAGGAAUUACUUCCAAGCCUUAAUAGUUUUAGAUCUAUUUUUCAAUAGAGCAGUCGAGUCUCAUUUCCUAGUACUUCUCUCUCUAAGACUCUCAUCCUAUAUUCUGGUUCACAUAUGCAAUUGCUCUGUUUAGGGUUUUUGAGUUCAAGUGUUGCAGGUCCGUUUCUUUUUUAAGGAAGAAAAACUUUGUUUGGUAAUAUCUUGUUAUUUAGAGCCUGUUUGAUAUGGUUGUUGUCUCAUUGCUGUUUAUUUGUCUUUAAUUUUGUGAUUUUUAUUCUUCACAUUAGUAUUAUUAUUAAAAAAUAAAAAAAAUUCCAUAUGGGUACUAGAGAAUCAUCUCCAAGAUAAAGAUCCACUGCUAGCAUUCUUAUUUAUUUAUUUGCAUUUAGCAUUUUAGAAAUGAAAAUGUAGGAAUAGGUCCCGCCAUAAUUCAAGCUUGUCCUUUCAUCUUGGGAUGGCAGUCCUGCUCAUGAAUCCUAUUGUUCAUUUCUAUUUAUGUUUUUACUUGGUGACCUUAGUGGCCUUCUCAAUGUCUCUGUACCUUCAUUUAACUUGAAUCAUAUCUAUCAAGGGAGUACACAAGAGAGGAAAGACAUGGAAAUGAAAAGGGAAUAUAUAUAUAUAUAUAUAUAUAUAUAUAUAUAUAUAUACCUUUGAAAAUUUAAUUCUUUCACAAUGGGUGACUUUGGCUGCAAGUCAUCUUGUUUUAUUUGUAGACUCCAACCACAUGUCUUUGCUGCCAUCACCUUGCUUAAACUAGUGCCACUAGUUCACUGGGCUAAAAUAAGGUCUGAAAUAAUUUCUUGGUCAAAUUUCAAUUCAAAGAUGACGAGUCCUGAAAUUAGCCAAGUCAAUCUUGUUGCCAAGUGAACAUAGUGCAUAUGUAAUCCUGAGAAAAUGUAUUAGCCUAGAACUAGAGAAUUCGAGCUCUGAACCAUGUGGGUUGAUCAUGCCCGGUGAUGGUAAAAAAAGGGGAACCCUUUCCUGUACACUUUGUCUAACUUACCUAAGAGGGCUUUAAUAAUUUCACUUUAUUAAGGGUUGUGCAAAUUAGAGAGCCAAAUCUAAUUUAAGCUAUUUGAUAAUAGGUUAAACUAGUAGAAAAGUAAAUGUGCAAAAAAGUAAAGAAACUAGAAUAGUGCACAGGAAUUUGAAGUGUAUAAAAAAUUAAAAUAAUUGGAAAUGAAUGAUUGACAAGCAAUUAAAAGUUACUUCCAAUAAAGUCGCUUCUAGUGAUUUGAAAAAGUUUGGAGUCUGUAAUUGAAGUCCUAGACCUUUCUGGUAUAACCUCUAAUCAUAUCUAUGGCCUUUGAAGAGUCUUGACUUUAAGAAGUUGCCUAAUAGGAAGUUGCCCCCUUUCUUUGGUGUUCUAGACCAUGAAGAGUCUUAUCUGAGCCUGACCAUGAGUUCUAUGCCUAUUUUAUGGUGGUCUUCUAUUUUCCGGCAGGGGUCUGCUCAGGUCUUAGACUCAUUUCCAAGAGGAAUACGAUCUCAAUUCUAUUGUCAAAAAUAAUAUAAAGUUCUGCUCAUGUUUGGGAGGAGAGGAGUGCACAAAGAGGCUUACAAGUUUAGGACUUGAGUAUGAUGCCUAUCAUACACAUGAUAGUUUACUCUUCAAUCAUUAUGAGAUUUGGUUUGAGUUCAGGAGGUCAAAAGCUUAGAGUUCUUUCAAUUUAGUCUUUUUGGGUUAAGUUAUUAGCGAUUUUGAAGCAAGCAAUGUAGCUGUCAGCUGAAAGUGGGUACAUUGUGUUGCUCUUUGUUGGAAUGGCGACAUUUUUUGGAAUGUUGGAUUUUCAAUGCCCUGUUGAUAUUUGUACGUGGAAGAAAGAAGGCUUACUCACUUGCAGAUUUUUUUAGAUGAAUCGUAAAUCUGGCAGGAAACAGAGGCCCUGCUUUGUAUUUUUGACAUGAAGAUGAUUGUGUAACUAUUAUUUAGGUAUUUGAGAUUGAGUGCAAAAGAGGGGGCUUUGUGUUAUUUGAGACUGACACAUCAUGUAAUGAGUAGUAUAUAUUUGGGAUUUAUUUAAUUAGCUGCAGUACAGACAUUUUAUCUUGCCAUUCUCUGCUGUUAUUGAUCAUUGCACGGGAAACUCCUUUACACGCUUGCAAUAAACUUGAAUGAUUGUGUUCAAAUAAUCAUUUACUUAAUGUUCUGUUUCUGGUGAGGGGACCUGCUUUCAAUUAGUAAAACCAUAUGAUUGAUUUGCUUUUGACUGCAAUGUAGUUAUAUGCUUGCUGUGAUUGUGUUUGCAUGAUGCUUCAAACCUUUCUGAACAUCAAAAUGUUUGUUUGUUUCUCGUUUUCUUGUUUUUUUAUUGGUAACUAGUCUUGUAGAAAUGGAUUCAGAUUUGAAGUUUGUAUGAUAUUCAGGGGUUGCUGCUGUGGAAACCUCCCUUUGCAGGCAAACUUAAGGUAAACAUGGUGGUACCCAGGGUAUUAUAAACAAGAUAAAGUUGAGUAGAUUUUUUUGUCAUGAGAGAGGGAUUUCAACAAGUACAAAAGUUGCUAGUCCCAGAGCCAUUGGAGCAACGUUUUCUUCAGGCUAGAGAAAUUUGUUAAUCAAUCCGUGAAAUUAGGCUUGUCAAAAAUAAUUUUUUUCAUAGAAUAAUAAUAAUGCCAUCAAUAUAACAGUAUAACUUUGUUUCCUAGUUAUGAACCAUAUGACCUCAAAUGUCUAUAGAUGGUUUGGAAAUCUGUUAAUAUUGACAGAAUAUGAAUAUACGCUCUAAAUGGCAUUAGAUAUGAAUUUUCCUAAAGAUAACCUUUUUGUGGAUAAGCAAUCUAUUUAAUGGUCCACUUAUUUUGAGCACAUACAGAAAAAAAUCAUACAACAGAAAAGAUGAAAUAACACAUGGCAGCAGAACCUAAAGACUACAUUUGUAAAUGCUGAUUUUUGGUACAAGAACAAGAGGAAGGUCAAGGCAUUCUAGGAUUGAGUUAUUGAAAUAAUAAUAGUAAUGCCAUGGAUGGGAAGUGGGAACAAGGGGCAUUUUUUCACUUUUGUGCAAAAUUGGGGGCAAACUGUGACACUAACUAUGCAUCAUUAAUUAUUAUCGAAUAAUAUUAGAUAGACAGGCCAAAACUGCUAAGUGGUAACAAGUAACAUUCUUUUGUUGUACAUCAGAUAACACUAAGAUCAUCCCCAUUCGGGAAAAAUACCCUCUUUAAAUUAAUUUCCUAAAAAGUUUAUCUAUUAUAUUUUCUCUAAUGUUUCUCCAGCUGCAUUCAAUUAGUUACUGGUAUAAAAAUUUAAACCAUAUCUACAUGGGUUUGAUUGAGUACCUGCAUCGGAUUCCUAGAAGGUUUUAUUCUGCCAUCUGAUGGAAAUAUGGUUUUUUCUUUAUGGGUUUGUUGGUCUAAGAAAUGCAAUCUAGAGCCUAUCUCAAGUUUCUGAAAGCAGAGAUCCUCAGGCCUUGAAGUUGAGUUUUGUUGGGGGAGGAAAUUAUCUGACAUUGAUGUUUGAUUAUCACUCUAAGAAUAUAAUUUUUCCUCUUUUUUGCUAUGAAAACAUUUGUCUUCUUAUUUAUUUUUAAUUAGAAAAUGUUUUUUUUUUUUGAGAAAUUAAUAGGUAAUCAGAUAUUGUUUUACUUUGAAAAUUAUCUUUUAUUCAAUGUUUUUUUUAUUGAAUUAGAUGUUUUUUGUAAAUAUUUUUUAAAGUUUUAAAAUAGUUAUAAAAAAUUAUUAAUUUUAAACUAAUAUAUAAUCAAAUAAUUUCUUAUAUCAUGAUUGAUAUUUAUUUAUUAAUCCAAUUCUUUUUGUAAAUAUUUUUCAAAUUUUUAUUUAAAUCAUAAAAAAAAAAAUUAUUUUUAGGUUUUUUUUAACAAUAUAAAUGUAUAUUAUUUUUUUAAGAUUGAUGUUUAUAUAAUUUGUUGUAAUGAAAAGUUUUUUUUGUUUAUCAUACUAUUUUUUGUAAUUAAAAUUUUAUGUCCUUUUUGGUAAUUUAUUAAUAUUAAAAGUGUUUUUCACAUAAACACUGCAACAAAUUAAAAACAUUUUCACUAGAAUCACUGUUAAGCAUGUUCUAAAUACAUUUAGUUUGAUCUAUUUGUUACCUAAAAUCAAUUUGAAGAAUUCCUUAAAUAUAUUCAAAUGCUAUUUAAGACCGAUAUUGAUAGCUAUAAAAUUGUAUUUUUCACCUUUAUAAUGCAAUUUUAGUGUUCUCAAACCGAUUAAAGAUGAGUCCUUAAUCCCUUCUUUCUAGUAGAUUUCUAAUUAAGAGUCUUAACAAGUUAAUUUGGAUUUUUGGAUUGUUAUUAGAUGCGUAGGAGUGGAGACAUUAGUGUUAGCAACCAAGGGAAGAUAACAUUGAGAAAGGGGCUUUUGUUGGAUGAUGUUCAUGCUUUUGGGCAUGUUUUAAGGAAU